UCUGUUGUCAGUGCCAAGAUAAACUGCAAUCAGAACUAUGCCCCAACACACACACACACACACACACGCACACACACACACGCCAUUUGAAAGAAACAUCUGACAAGAGACUUCUGGGUUUGGGCUUGGAAACCGCCCAGUCAGGGCUCCACUGUUUGGAUCAAUCAGAACUGAACAAGUUUAAAUCUGCCAUUUGCAUGAAUAAGCCAGAUCAAGAACCACGGCAAGAACUUUCCCUAUUUAAGCCAGACCCUCCCUUUGUUCCUUGGUGGGAAAAUAGAGGCUGAGAGAAAUUGAGUAACUUGCCUCAAGCCAUAUAUUCGGCACCGAGAUGUGAUCUGAGCCAGGUCAUGGAUGGUCACUGACAUCUUCAUUUUCCAGAGCCAACAACUGAGGUCCAAACAGCGUGCCUUGCGCAAGGCCACACAAGAGAUAAUGGCAUUGGCUGUACCAGUGGCCCAGAUCCUUCACCUGCAGAAGAGCUUCCCAGAGAGGAGCAAGCCUUCCUGCCGUCACCUCUGGUGUCAUCCUAUAGGACAUUAAAACCAACUCAAGAUUGUGUUGAAAACUGUUUUCCUUUUGAGGAUGCUAAUAAGAACAAGAUCAUAUCAACGGGUAUGGAUCAUGGCAGGAUUUUCCUUCAGCUGAGUCUUUUAAUGAGCCGUUUCAUAAUGAGGGCUGAAUCUACACACAGUAUCUACAUGCUAGCCAAGGUUUAAAGACUUUUAUAAUAUUUUCCUCCAUUCUCACCCCCUUCGAAGCCCUGGCUUUAAUUCUUUUAAACAGUAACAUUCAUUGGCUGUUAAGUAAAACAGGAGAGAACACAAUAAAUUUAUGAUAUUUUGAGAAGCUAUGCCAGUUCUCAAGCAUUCAGAGAAACAAGCUUGGCUUUUAUGAGGUAAUUAUGAUUUAGUGUUUUCUCUCGCCCUGUUGAGUCUGUGGGCUGCCUGUAAAAUGGAUCUGGAAUGAAUGUCAAAGUCAGGAUUUACAGUCAAACAUUUUCAACAUAUAAAGUACAGGAGAAGUUUAUUGUUUUGUUGGGGUUUUUUUUUUUCUAAGCAAUAUUUCCUUCUGCAUUUGUGUGCUGUUAGGUUUUGUAGGAUUUCUCCCCUCCCAUUUGAAAUGGUAUCUAUAAAUUACUUUUCCUGAUAAGGCUGCAGUAUCAUCAAAAAGUGAUGGUCUUUGCAAGCAAUCGUGACAAAGCAUGUCAAUUUAAAUCAUUUCUUUCUCUUCCUCUCACUCUUUUUUCCUCUUACCUUCAACAGGAAACUAUCAUUUCAAUGUUUCCACCCUUUCAGAAAUGAGCAGGAAUUGACUAAGCUUGAUGAGUUUGAGGUAUAAGAGAUCUUCAUGCUCCUUCCUUCUACCAUCUUUUUCCCCUGUUCUCUCUUUGAAAUAAAAACUGUGUUUGGAUGUUACCUUCAGGGAGAGCAGACUCUGGGAUCAUCAGGCUCCAAGGCUUUCCGCCCUUACUCUCCCGUUAACAUGCUGGGAUUGACACCACCUUUGCAAAAAUUAUGACGGUGAGAAAAAUCUGACAUAGGAAAAUUAUGUCAGUUAAAGAGAUCUGACCUGACCAACUCCAUCUUGCUCAUAACCUCCAAGCUGCCCUUGUUCAUUUUGGGGCAUAGGCUGAACUAACUUUGGGAAGAAUUUCAUUUAUAGCUUAACUUUGAAACAACUAUGAUAACAGCCCUUUCCCUGAAAUGAACCCCCUCUUUGCUUGGGGAACAGACCAUUUUUGUAAAACCAACAAAUUUGCCACAAGAUUAGAAAUUAUGGCUCAGGAGUCAUGCAGCCAGAGGCCACAAGAUUCCUAACCUCCCCAGGCACUCUUAUGAAUAACAUCACUAUUGUAAAACCUAAGAUUGGUGUUCAAGAUAUUUUUCAGACCCUGCAUUCUGAUGGACCAGCUGGCACCACCCAGACCAGUAAUCUGGGUCAACCUGUUCUGCGAUCCUAUCCAGGAACAGAAGAUAGCAGGAAGAACCUGCUUUGACCCUCUGUGAUUUCAUCUCUGACCCAACCAAUCAGCACUCCCCAUUC
rnacentral:lncRNA from 1 species